rnacentral:rRNA from 1 species
GACAUAGGUGGCAAACGUUAUCCGGAAUUAUUGGGCGUAAAGGGUGCGUAGGUGGUUUAAUAAGUUACUGGUGGCAAAUCGGGGCCCAACCCCCGUGGAAGUCAGUAAUACUAUCGAACUAGAGGGUCGGAGAGGUUAACGGAACUCCAUGUGUAGCGGUAAAAUGCUCAAAUAUAUGGAUGAACACCAAUCGGCGAAGGCAGUUAACUAUUCGAUUCCUGACGUUGAGGCACGAAAGCGUGGGGAGCAAGACGG